GUGGCGAGUGGCGGACGGGUGAGGAAUACAUCGGAAUCUACUUUUUCGUGGGGGAUAACGUAGGGAAACUUACGCUAAUACCGCAUACGACCUACGGGUGAAAGCAGGGGACCUUCGGGCCUUGCGCGAUUGAAUGAGCCGAUGUCGGAUUAGCUAGUUGGCGGGGUAAAGGCCCACCAAGGCGACGAUCCGUAGCUGGUCUGAGAGGAUGAUCAGCCACACUGGAACUGAGACACGGUCCAGACUCCUACGGGAGGCAGCAGUGGGGAAUAUUGGACAAUGGGCGCAAGCCUGAUCCAGCCAUACCGCGUGGGUGAAGAAGGCCUUCGGGUUGUAAAGCCCUUUUGUUGGGAAAGAAAUCCAGCCGGCUAAUACCUGGUUGGGAUGACGGUACCCAAAGAAUAAGCACCGGCUAACUUCGUGCCAGCAGCCGCGGUAAUACGAAGGGUGCAAGCGUUACUCGGAAUUACUGGGCGUAAAGCGUGCGUAGGUGGUUGUUUAAGUCUGUUGUGAAAGCCCUGGGCUCAACCUGGGAACUGCAGUGGAAACUGGACAACUAGAGUGUGGUAGAGGGUAGCGGAAUUCCCGGUGUAGCAGUGAAAUGCGUAGAGAUCGGGAGGAACAUCCAUGGCGAAGGCAGCUACCUGGACCAACACUGA
rnacentral:rRNA from 1 species